rnacentral:rRNA from 1 species
GUGGGGAAUAUUGGACAAUGGGCGAAAGCCUGAUCCAGCCAUGCCGCGUGUGUGAAGAAGGUCUUCGGAUUGUAAAGCACUUUAAGUUGGGAGGAAGGGCAGUAAGUUAAUACCUUGCUGUUUUGACGUUACCGACAGAAUAAGCACCGGCUAACUUCGUGCCAGCAGCCACGGUAAUACGAAGGGUGCAAGCGUUAAUCGGAAUUACUGGGCGUAAAGCGCGCGUAGGUGGUUUUGUAAGUUGGAGGUGAAAUCCCCGGGCUCAACCUGGGAACUGCCUCCAAAACUGCAUGACUAGAGUACGGUAGAGGGUAGUGGAAUUUCCUGUGUAGCGGUGAAAUGCGUAGAUAUAGGAAGGAACACCAGUGGCGAAGGCGACUACCUGGACUGAUACUGACACUGAGGUGCGAAAGCGUGGGGAGCAAACAGGAUUAGAAACCCGGGUAGUCC